CAACCUGGGCUGUUCUGUGAUUCUGUGAAACUUGCAGGCACUAGCACCAGCUCUGAUUGCAGAGAGGAAGAAUCUGUCUGAUACAGGGCUGAAAACAAAGGCAUCCAAACCUUGAGCUAAAUAGAAGAGGAAGAAGCCAAAAUCUGUGCCAGAGGUUUGACUGCUGGGUUUACUCAUGGCUUCAGGUCGUUUUCACAGGGCUAGGUCUGCUGGGGGGAUUUUCUG
rnacentral:lncRNA from 1 species